AUUGAACGCUGGCGGCAGGCUUAACACAUGCAAGUCGAACGAGUGGCGGACGGGUGAGUAAUGUAUGGGAAACUGCCCGAUGGAGGGGGAUAACUACUGGAAAGGGUAGCUAAUACCGCAUACCAUCGGAUGUGCCGAGAUGGGAUUAGCUAGUAGGUGGGGUAACGGCUCACCUAGGCGACGAUCCGUAGCUGGUCUGAGAGGACGACCAGCCACACUGGAACUGAGACACGGCCCAGACUCCUACGGGAGGCAGCAGUGGGGAAUUUUGCACAAUGGGCGAAAGCCUGAUGCAGCCAUGCCGCGUGUAUGAUGAAGGCCUUCGGGUUGUAAAGUACUUUCGGCAAGGAAGCGUUACUCGCAGAAGAAGCACCGGCUAACUCCGUGCCAGCAGCCGCGGUAAUUC
rnacentral:rRNA from 1 species